AGCGAACGCUGGCGGCAUGCCUAACACAUGCAAGUCGAACGAGACCUUCGGGUCUAGUGGCGCACGGGUGCGUAACGCGUGGGAAUCUGCCCUUGGGUUCGGAAUAACAGUUGGAAACGACUGCUAAUCCCGGAUGAUGACGUAAGUCCAAAGAUUUAUCGCCCAAGGAUGAGCCCGCGUAGGAUUAGCUAGUUGGUGAGGUAAAGGCUCACCAAGGCGACGAUCCUUAGCUGGUCUGAGAGGAUGAUCAGCCACACUGGGACUGAGACACGGCCCAGACUCCUACGGGAGGCAGCAGUGGGGAAUAUUGGACAAUGGGCGAAAGCCUGAUCCAGCAAUGCCGCGUGAGUGAUGAAGGCCUUAGGGUUGUAAAGCUCUUUUACCCGGGAUGAUAAUGACAGUACCGGGAGAAUAAGCGCCGGCUAACUCCGUG
rnacentral:rRNA from 1 species